GACGAACGCUGGCGGCGUGCUUAACACAUGCAAGUCGAACGGAAAGGCCCUGCUUUUGUGGGGUGCUCGAUUGGCGAACGGGUGAGUAACACGUGAGUAACCUGCCCUUGACUUUGGGAUAACUUCAGGAAACUGGGGCUAAUACCGGAUAGGAGCUCCUGCUGCAUGGUGGGGGUUGGAAAGUUUCGGCGGUUGGGGAUGGACUCGCGGCUUAUCAGCUUGUUGGUGGGGUAGUGGCUUACCAAGGCUUUGACGGGUAGCCGGCCUGAGAGGGUGACCGGCCACAUUGGGACUGAGAUACGGCGCAGACUCCUACGGGAGGCAGCAGUGGGGAAUAUUGCACAAUGGGCGGAAGCCUGAUGCAGCAACGCCGCGUGCGGGAUGACGGCCUUCGGGUUGUAAACCGCUUUCGCCGGUGACGAAGCGUGAGUGACGGUAAUGGGUAAAGAAGCACCGGCUAACUACGUG
rnacentral:rRNA from 1 species